rnacentral:rRNA from 1 species
AACGGCCGUACCAUGCUGAAUAUAUCGGUUCUCGUUAGAUCACCGAAGUCAAGCAUCAUUGGGCGCGGUCAGUACUUGGGUGGGUGACCACCUGGGAACUCCGCGUGCCGUU